CCUGUAAGCGGGGAAUAACCCGUUGAAAGACGGACUAAGUACCGCAUAAUACUAAAUUUACUGCAUGGUAAUUUAUUUAAACAUUUAUGGCUUACAGAUGGGCAUGCGCAUGAUUAGCUAGUUGGAGAGGUAACGGCUCCCCAAGGCAACGAUCAUUAGGGGUUCUGAGAGGAAGGUCCCCCACACUGGUACUGAGACACGGACCAGACUCCUACGGAGGCAGCAGUGAGGAAUAUUGGUCAAUGGACGAGAGUCUGAACCAGCCAAGUCGCGUGCAGGAAGAAUGUUCCCUAUGGAUUGUAAACUGACUUUUGCAGGGGAAUAAAGUGCAUCACGUGUGAUGUUUUGUAUGUACUCUGCGAAUAAGGAUCGGCUAACUCCGUGCCAGCAGCCGC
rnacentral:rRNA from 1 species